AGGGGAUCAAAGACGAUUAGAUACCGUCCUAGUCUUAACUGUAAACGAUUCCAUCUUAGAAUUGGGUGAAUAUUUGAUGAUUCAUCCAGCGCUAUAAGAGAAAUCAAAGUCUUUGGGUUCUUGGUGGAGUACGAUCGCAAGAUUGAAACUUAAAGGAAUUGACGGUUUUGCACACCAUGGAGUGGAGCCUGUGGCUUAAUUUGACUCAACACUGGGAAACUCAUCAGGACAACAAAGUUUUAGGAUUGACAGAUUGAUAGCUUUCUUGAUUGACUUAAUGGUGGUGCAUGGCCGUUCUUAGUUGGUGGAGUGAUUUGUCUGGUUAAUUCCGUUAACGAACGAGACCUUAACCUACUAACUAGUACGACGUGACGAACGUUAGUUACUUCUUAGAGGGACAAUGUGUAUUUUUAACACAAGGAAGUUUAAGGCAAUAACAGGUCUGUGAUGCCCUUAGAUGUCCUGAGCCGCACACGC
rnacentral:rRNA from 1 species